UCCCUUUGUUCUUUUCAUUGUUUCUACCCCGAAGUGGCGGAGACACGAGGACAAACGCUUACCUUCUCUCCUUUUUGCUCCGAAACACACACGUUCCCAUCAGCUGGAAAAUGCACGGUCCACCUUGGAAGCGGCUACAGACGUCGGGAGACGGAGGAGAUAAGGGAAUGCGCCUGGAGCUCCGGAUCAAAUCGCCGACUCUCCCCGGGUCACCGGGAUCCACACGGUCCUUGGAGAUGAGGAGCGCCAGAAGACUGUGGCCUGACCGUCCCUUACGUCACGAAAGUGAUUUGUACCACAUUGCUAAUUUGGUGCAAUUCAUAACCUCCCGAUCUCCUACGUUUGCAACUGCUUUUUCGGCUCGCAGGGUGUGUUUUUUUAAGAUGUAGCUCCCCAGCGCAGAAAUUAAGAGCAAUCACCUAUGUGCAGGAGAGCAUCUUAUUUCCCAAUGUUUGUUGCUUUACCUUUGUCUAAUUAAAAAUGCAAACUUUUAGGAUCCUUUCAGAACAAAGCCUCACCAAAUCCCCUUUACGUCCAAGGAUUUGCAAAUUUAUAAAGGCUGCAUUGAAUUCAGCAUGGGUCAAGGGGCAAAAAAAGGGUAGAAGGUCACUGCAUUUUGAUUAUGGGUCAGUAAACAACAUGGCAUGUAGUAUGUGUCCAGAAACUCCUGCUAAAAAGUAUUUUAAAACUACCUAACUCAAGAAAUAGCCUUAGCCCGUGGUGAUUAUAAAUUGCACAAAAUUCUAGUGCGCAAGUGACACCCCAGCCCCCAUGGUAAGAAAAAAAAAAACAACCACAACUUAAAAAGCACUUAGCAAAACUCUGCGCUGCUGCUUUGUUUACCAAAAAAAACCCCAACAAAAAACCACCCCAACCCCCAAAAAACAACCCUCCCCCCAAAAAACACCAAAAAACCCCGAACCAACCCAACCCUGAAACUCCCAGGCAUAAGAGUGUUAGCCAGAUUAGGAGUAUUUUUAUUUAUUUUUUUUUCCCAGACUGACGGUUGGCAUUUCUUUGUCCUACACAUUUAGAAGAUUUUGUCCUGUGUUGUGAUUUGUUGCCGUACUAGAAUUUACGGCAAAUUUUAGGUACAACCAACAGCUGACUUUAAAAUAGCAGAAGGAUCCUAUUAUACUGUUCUUUGACCCUAUUAUAUUUACGUUACUGGACUCUUUGUGAUAGCCUCUAGCUGCUUUCAGUGUCCUCCUUGAGCAAAACAUGCCCAGCGAUGUCUAAAAGCAGGGUGGAGGGUUAGAAAACAAGUUCUCAUUCGAAAUAUAUAUUUCUUCCCAGCGUCGUGAAAGCAAAAGGUUUAUUUAAUGCUUGUCAAUACCUGAAGACACGGUCCAGCACUUAACAAAUAAUAAUAAUAAUAAAUAAUAAUAAUAAUAAUACUCUAACAAUGUGGCGAUCCCGGUGUGAAAAUGCACAUGACCUCUGAGGUUUUUCGCGAAGAUUUUCAGCAGAAUUCUCCCCAUUGGUCCCACUGCUGGUGGACAUCUCUGUUGCAUUUCCCAACGAAACGUUUAAAAGACUGCAAAUGGUGUGUGCAUUACUUCAUUGCAGAAGGAAGAGGUCAGGCUGAAUUGCGCUGGUAUUUAAACAUAAUCAUGCUAUGAAAAUAAAUCAAAACAUCACGUAAAAGGAGUAUUUUCAAUGUGACACACAUUUUCUUUCUGGAACGACGGGGCUCAGCACUUCCCCGCGAGCCUAUAUAUUUUAACACAAGUUUACAAAAAUGAAAGUGUACGAUUUCCAAUAAAUUGGGAAUAGGUCUACA